AUCUAACUUUUGCUCUUUCUCUUUUCGUCCUAUAAAGGAUUCUCCUGUCUCUCAUGUUCUUUGUCUUUUUGUGUUAACACAAGCUUAUAGUAUCAUAUUGUAACAGUUUUGGGUCACAGAUGCAUUGCUUGUCAAGAUUCAAGAUCCCAUGAAAUCCACCUGUUUUUUAUUUUUGGCAAAAGAUGUGGGAACAGAACAAUCCUAACAACAUGAUGUGCUGUUAACUAUACUCAUAAUCAAGAAACAGUUUGUUCCAUAGACAUUAUCAUAUAAAGGCUGUGUUAAGAUUAAUAUGCACUAAUGCAAUGAUAAGUCGUAUGUGAUGUAAAUGUACAUGUAUUUGAGUUAAUGGAUUACUAAGUAAUUGUAAUGGUAGUUGUCACAGGCCUAUGUCACUGAGUCCCUGACUGUACAUGAAUGUACAAUGUAUUCUCAGAUAAAUUCAUUAACAAUGACAUUGCCUUCUGAGCACAGAUGGCAAUGAAGUUACCAUUGCCAUUACUAUUACUUUUUUAAUAACAAUUUAGUGCUGUACACCUUCCUCUCAUUCCUCUUUUUGUUUCUCUAUCUCUUUAGUGUCACCAUUUUCUUGAUGCAUCAAGCUUAGGAGAUACUGAGGUCAUCAAUGAGUCUUGCAUUCAAGCUUGUUGUCUUUCAAAAUUAGGACACUGUACAUGAACAUAC
rnacentral:lncRNA from 1 species